ACUAAAAUACCAAAAAAAUAUGCAAACAAACAAAGCCGGCCCAUCUCUAAUACUUCGCCGUGUUCGCGUCUCGGACCGUUUUAAGGGGGUUAAAGGCUUAUCCCGCCGCCGCCGUCCGUCGCACUUUGUUGACCCCGCCACGACGGCGAAUCAUGGAGGUCGAAUCGUCCUCUAAUUUACCCUUACCGGAUGCAUUCCUCGAUUUUCUCAACGAGAAUGGGCUGGACCCUUCAGUGUAUACAAACAGUGAUCCCACCCCUCGUUAUGUAAGGUUGAAACCGGGUUGUGAAGGGGAUGUUGAAGAGAUUGAAGUUGAGGUAGGAUGCAAGCUUGAGAAAGUGGAUUGGUUGCCCAGUUUCUAUUCUCUUUCACCUCAUGUUCAGAUUGCUAACUCGAAGGCAUAUCAACAAGGGAAGAUAUAUGGGAUUGAUGCGGCAUCCGGAGCUGCUGUUUCAGCUUUGAAUAUCUCCUUGGGAGAUCACGUCCUUGAUCUCUGUGUUGCUCCAGGUGCUAAACUUUGUAUGAUAUUGGACCUUCUUGGCAGUUCUGGUUCUGUGACUGGCAUUGAUGUUGCAAGACAUCGCUUAGCGGCUUGUAGAACUAUGGUGCUGAAAUACAGUCUUGGUGAUCGUUGUCGUCUCUUUGUUGCUGAUGGAACAUUAUUUUCCCUACUUCCGAUCAGGGUCUUUUCAGGUUCCAACUCAGGUGAAUAUCCUUUGGAUGAAAUGGUGAACUUAUACAAGGAGUGGACAUCUAGGAGACCGUGGAAAGACAAGAAAAAGGCGGCUAAAGCAAGAGUAACCGUAGCUUCACAGUUAGCCUCGUCGACUCAAGAUCCAGAGCUUAUAUAUUAUGGGAAGAAUUCUGGAGUGGUCGGUCUCACUAGAAGUGAAAUAUAUCAAACUUUCCUUGGUAAUGAUGUUUUGCACUGUGGUUAUGACAAGGUCCUCGUGGAUGCAGAGUGCACACAUGAUGGGUCAAUUAAACACAUCCAGAAAUUUGAAUAUUGGGGCUGGAAAACUCUACAACGUCGUGUAUUGAAUGCGGAAAGAACUGAUAAUUUGACUGCCCUUCAGUUACAGCUUCUAACCAAUGGUUUUAGAUUGCUCAAAAUUGGGGGAUCUCUAGUCUAUAGCACUUGCAGUUUAACAGUUGCUCAGAAUGAAGAUGUAGUAGAGCAGUUUCUUCUUCAAAAUGCUUCUGCUGAGUUAUUGGAGAUUGAUGCAGCCAAAAAUUGGCCUUGCAGAAGUGGACGGAUACCAAAGACCCUGCGAUUUGAUCCCAUGACUUCCAGAACUAGUGGCCUUUUUGUGGCAAAGUUUACAAAAUUGGCCAUUUAGUUUAGCUUGGGUAUUACUGCCAUUUGUCAAGAUGCUUCGGCAUUCAAGACGUACUGAAUUCCUGUCUGGAUCUCAUCCGCUUUUACAUCAGGCGUCUCAACGUCUCCCACACUUCCAUUCUCAGACUCGGACUCAAUGUCAUGAUCAGAAACCACACCAUAUGAUUCAGGUUUAACCAUGGCUUCUCCUUUUCCCUCUCCUCCAAUAUUUGCUAGCCUUCUUUCAAGUUCCUUGCGUUGGCGGAGAUGGUAAUUGCACGGACACUCGUAUAGACUGUUUAUGGAGGCAUAUGUCGUGUCUGGAAAACUUUUGUUAUGGGAGGGAGAGCGAGUCGAGCCGAGCAAAUCGGCAAUGCGACGAGGGGUUUUCUUGACGGCUCUGGUGAACUUUGCAAAGCUCUUGGACACCUUGUUAUGGCACUGAAACUUCUUUCCUAGAGGAGGAGAUGACAUAAUUGAUAAUGGAGUGUGUUAUAUCUAUGAAUCUUCUGUAUGUUCUUGUUGGGUCUUUUCUGGUUAUAUAGAGCUAGCUAGGGUUUCCCUUCAAAAGGAAAACAUUAAAUUCUCCCUCCCCGUUGUGGCAAUCCUAAACUUCGUGGAUAUGUUUCUUCUUUUUCCUUUUUUAGCAUGUUGUGAGCUUUUUACCAUGCAAAUCUCUCUCAAUUCUUCAAUGUUGCAUACUCAACCAGAAAUUUCAGAGUACAUUUUCAUGGAAAGAAUUGCCAAUUUGGUGAAGUUA